CCAAACCGCAGCAGUGACUCACAAGUAAUUGAGCUAAAAAGUGAGACGGGUGAGGGCAGGGCUGGGAGCAGACAGCUUUAAGUUUGUGGCGGGAAAUCAGAGACGCGCAGUUUGAAUUAGGCUGUGGCUUCUGGAAGCCUAUCAGGCGCUGCAGUUGACUGGAAUAACAAACACAGAUGGUCGGGAUGACGAGCGUGGAUGGUGGUCUUGACCAGAAGCGAAAUGAAGGAAAAUAGCAAAACGGCUCAAGGCACAAUGACACAACAGGGAGGGGACGUGUUGAAAGGCAAAAGGUAAUGUUCUGGCUCUGCAACUAAUUUGGUGAUUUUGACAACCUCAAAAAUGUGUUUGACAGCCCGGAGUUUUCCCCGGGGCUCCUCAGAAACAUAUUUGGGUCGUGUGGAUACAAGCCGGUCCCUCUUUCUUCGAGUUUUCCCUUUAUUUUCAUGCAUCGAGACUCAUCGAUGUAGAAGGGAAAUGUCCAUCAAACCACAUUGGGUACAUUUUUAUUUAUGGCUGAUCCUUUGGAAUCAGAAAAAAAAAAUCCCCAAUAAAGUGUCAAAUCGGAGUCUGCUCACAGAUCCUCAUGAACUCAAACCGUCGUACUAAAUUUUACUUUGUAAAACAUUGAGAAAA